AAGAACUUUCAACAUGCGCAAAAGCGUCUUUAAGCGAACUCAAGGGUCGAACUCAAAUCUCAAUCUCAACCAAAGUUAUGCCCUUCAGACAGAUGACAACUUCUGGUGGAGGAACUUACAAAUGAAAUCAGACAUACUUAAGUUCUCUCACACGCACCCAGAUAGACAUCGAGAGACACAAAAUAACAAUUAAACAUCAAGCUGACAAACUUUGGAACAGCAAACAAACAAAACUACAUAGAAGACAAGUCUGGGCGUGGAAGAGGUACGGAGGUAGAGCCUUCAAGCAGGACAAGUCAGAGCAUGUAGAGAAGUAGAGACAACUUUGAGAAGCCCUGGGCAAAUAGCAGAUACAAGAGUUAUAUAUAUAUAUAUAUAUGUCUAUGUAGUUAUAUAGCCACAAAAGAUGCGCCGCAGCGAUGUUUGAAACUUCGCGCCAGGAUGCGACUCAGGGACAAGCCUGAGAGGGUCUUGUGGAAAGGGAAAGGUUAUGGGGAGGUAGAAACUUUGUUAGCGAACGUGACAUGAAAAUCGCUGAGCUGAUGAAAAAUACUAAAUCGUGACGGGAAUCUGCAAAUCGACGAGCUGAGUCGUAGCCGAGUCGCCGAAUCGUUUGAAAAACUUGCAGCGCUGUCAAAUGCGGCUGCGGAUACACGGGCAGACAGACACGAUAACUAUGCCUACAGAGGAGUGGAUAUGAAAGCAGGCAAUAGUAGAACUCCCUGGGAGAUGGAGAUCCCCAAAAAGAAACUCGAGAUCGCGAUGGAGCUGCCAAAUAUAGCCAACUUCAUUGGAGAGUUUAUAUAUAGGGCAGAACUUCUGUUUGCUAAUGGCUUCAUUUGGUCUGGCGGACUAUGAAUCUCUGUUUCUGGUUCUCUUUCUGUGUGUGCUGGCUAUGCCCCCGGACACUUGAUGCCAAUGCAGAGCACAUCAGAGCACAGCUCUUAGUGCACUUGACUUCGCCUGCAGCGUUUUUAUCGGUUAAAAAUAUCAUAAAACGAUCCACCACACACACAUACGUAUGAACGGACCGUUCCUCCAUCUCCCUCUUGCUCUCUCCUGCUAUAUAUAUCUCCUGCCUUCUCUCUUGC
rnacentral:lncRNA from 1 species